rnacentral:rRNA from 1 species
UGGGGAAUAUUGCACAAUGGGCGCAAGCCUGAUGCAGCCAUGCCGCGUGUAUGAAGAAGGCCUUCGGGUUGUAAAGUACUUUCAGUCGGGAGGAAGGUGGUAAGGUUAAUAACCUUGGCAAUUGACGUUACCGACAGAAGAAGCACCGGCUAACUCCGUGCCAGCAGCCGCGGUAAUACGGAGGGUGCAAGCGUUAAUCGGAAUUACUGGGCGUAAAGCGCACGCAGGCGGUUGAUUGAGUCAGAUGUGAAAUCCCCGGGCUUAACCCGGGAAAUGCAAUGGAUACUGGUCGGCUAGAGUCUUGUAGAGGGGGGUAGAAUUUCGAGUGUAGCGGUGAAAUGCGUAGAGAUGUGGAAGAAUACCGGUGGCGAAGGCGGCCCCCUGGACAAAGACUGACGCUCAGGUGCGAAAGCGAGGGGAGCAAACAGG